CACGAGCAAGACAGGAUGAGGUAAAUUAAUCUCAAACGGAUCUUCUUAAGUAAAUUCCUAUUUUGUCUGUGUUCAAUUUUUUUUUGUGAAAAGGCAUGACAGUCGUUCGCUUACCAUGUGAAAUAUAAUUAUAUAUUUCAAACUGAUAAAACUGACGAAGGUGAUGAGAAAUUGGUACGGGAAGUUGAACAUUUAAUGCGGAAAAGACAGGUAACAAGACAAGAACAGCGUCAGCACACAGCUGAAGAGGUAAGACCACUAGAAAGCAGCAUGUUGCCAGACCACCAAAGGACCCUGGAGGCCACUGCAUGCUGUGACAAGGGCCUGGAUGGUGAAACACACGAGCUUCAAACUGCCUGCCUGAAAACUGAGGCCUUCAGUGGUACCUUCCCUUUGAUUACAGCAAGAGUCGCCUUAUUUCUUUCUCGUAGACAUUUAACAUGUACUUUAUGUAAUCACUCAAAUUCACAGAAAAUACUAGGAACACAAGAACUGACUUAUACUGAACAAAACUGUAAACGCAACUUGUAACAAUUUCAAAGAUUUUACUGAGUUACAGUUCAUAUAAGGAAAUCAGUUAAUUGAAAAAGGAAUUAGGGCCAAAUCUAUGGAUUUCACAUGACUGGGAAUACAGAUAUGGAUCUGUUGAUCACAGUACCUUUAAAAAAAGGUACAGGCGUGGAUCAGAAAACCAGAUAUUGUCGGGAACUGGAACAGUCUGUCGUACACGUCGAUCCAGAGCAUCCCAAACAUGCUCCAUGGGUGAACUGUCUGGUAAGUAUGAAGGCCAUGGAAGAACUGGUACAUUUUCAACUUCAAGGAAUUUUGUAAAGAUCCUUGUGACAUGUGGCUGUGCAUUAUCAUGAUGAAACAUGAGGUGAUGGUGGAGGAUGAAUGGCACGACAAUGGGCCUCAGGAUCAUUUCAUUUUAUCUCUUUGCAUUCAAAUUGCCAUCGAUAAAAUGCAAUCGUAUUCAUUGUCCAUAGUUAAUGCCUGCCCUUACCAUAACCCCGCGCCACCACAGAGCACUCUGUUCACAACAUGGACAUAAGCAAACCACUUUCCCACAUGACACCAUUCUCGUGUUCUGCAGUUGUGAGGAUGGUUGGACAUAUUUAUUAGACGCUUUAUUACAGAAAGAAAUAGUCCUCAGUUUCAUCAGCUGUCCGGGUGGCUGGUCUCAGAUGAUCCCAAAGGUCCUGGGCUGGCGUGGUUAUAUGUGGUCUGCGGUUGUGAGAUGUACUGCC